rnacentral:rRNA from 1 species
CAGCCGCCGCGGGAAUACGGAGGGAGCUAGCGUUGUUCGGAAUCACUGGGCGUAAAGGGCUCGCAGGCGGUUUCUUAAGUCUGAUGUGAAAGCCCCCGGCUCAACCGGGGAGGGUCAUUGGAAACUGGGAAACUUGAGUGCAGAAGAGGAGAGUGGAAUUCCACGUGUAGCGGUGAAAUGCGUAGAGAUGUGGAGGAACACCAGUGGCGAAGGCGACUCUCUGGUCUGUAACUGACGCUGAGGAGCGAAAGCGUGGGGAGCGAACAGGAUUAGAUACCCCAGUAGUCCCUGUCUCUUAUAC